rnacentral:rRNA from 1 species
UACGGAGGGUGCAAGCGUUAUCCGGAUUCACUGGGUUUAAAGGGUGCGUAGGCGGAACGAUAAGUCAGUGGUGAAAGCCUGCAGCUUAACUGCAGAACUGCCAUUGAUACUGUCGAUCUUGAGUAUAUUUGAUGUGGGCGGAAUGUGUCAUGUAGCGGUGAAAUGCUUAGAUAUGACACAGAACACCGAUUGCGAAGGCAGCUCACAAAACUAUAACUGACGCUGAGGCACGAAAGCGUGGGGAUCAAACAGG